ACUAACAAGGAUUCCCUCAGUAACGGCGAGUGAAGAGGGAAGAGCUCAGUUUUGAAAUCUGGCAGUCAUUCACUGUCCGAGUUGUAAAUUGAAGAGACUGUCAUCCACACUGGACCAUGUCUAAAUUGUAAUGAUCCACAGUCCUUUGAUGGAGUAUCAGAGAGGGUAAUAAUCCCGUCUUUAACGUGGACUCCCAGUGUUUAUGUGAUGCUCUCUCUCAGAGUCGAGUAGUUUGGGAAUGCUGCUCUAAUGGGAGGUAAAUUCCUUCUAAAGCUAAAUAUUGGCGAGAGACCGAUAGCGAACAAGUACCGUGAGGGAAAGAUGAAAAGAACUCUGAAAAGAGAGUCAAACAGAACGUGAAAUUGCUGAAAGGGAAGCGUUUGAAGUCAGAUACAUCUUCAUGGAAUAACGGCUCAGUUAGCAGAGACUGAGGUCAGUGACUUGAAGAUGGGCCAGCACUCACGUAGACCAUUGGAAAAGGGGUCAUGGAAUGUAGCUCAAUUCUUGAGUGAUUAUAGCCUUGACCCAUAUACAGUGUUGUUAUGUGAGAUUGACAGCACGACUUUUUUUUUUUUGUCAGUGCUUGCUUGACUGGCAUAAUGGCUCUAAGCGACCCGUCUUGAAACACGGACCAAGGAGUCUAACAUGUAUGCGAGUAUUAGAGUGAUUGAAACUCUGAAUGCGGAAUGAAAGUGGUCUUGACUGAGAAUCCUCAGUUAGGGGAGGCAUCAGUACCCCGAGUCUACUAGUCUUUGACUAAAGAUUUGGAGGUAGAGCAUAUAUGUUGGGACCCGAAAGAUGGUGAACUAUGCCUGAAUAGGGUGAAGUCAGAGGAAACUCUGAUGGAGGCCCGUAGCGAUUCUGACGUGCAAAUCGAUCGUAGAAUUUGGGUAUAGGGGCGAAAGACUAAUCGA
rnacentral:rRNA from 1 species